AGAGUUUGAUCCUGGCUCAGAUUGAACGCUGGCGGCAUGCUUUACACAUGCAAGUCGAACGGCAGCACGGGUGCUUGCACCUGGUGGCGAGUGGCGAACGGGUGAGUAAUGCACCGGAACGUACCCAGUAAUGGGGGAUAACACAUCGAAAGAUGUGCUAAUACCGCAUACGCCCUGAGGGGGAAAGCGGGGGAUCGUAAGACCUCGCGUUAUUGGAGCGGCCGAUGCCGGAUUAGCUAGUUGGUGAGGUUAAAGAGUCUCACCAAGGCGAGGGGCGAUCUUUUUUCUUGUUAGGGGCGGCACAGCCACACUGGGACUGAGACACGGCCCAGACUCCUACGGGAGGCAGCAGUGGGGAAUUUUGGACAAUGGGCGCAAGCCUGAUCCAGCCAUGCCGCGUGAGUGAAGAAGGCCUUCGGGUUGUAAAGCUCUUUCGCAAGGAAAGAAAACUUAUCU
rnacentral:rRNA from 1 species